UGAAUGUUAGAGUUUGCGAACCACAGUUCUCACCCAGGUGGAGCUUAGCUCCCUUUACAGGAAGUUUCGUGUGAAACUUAGCUUCCUUUGGGCUGUUCCUGCCUGAGAAAUAUGGUAGGAGCAGCAAGAAAUUUUCCCAGCCACUAAUGCCUAAAGUAUUUGUUCACUGAAGCUCUGCAUGUUUUAAGUGAUGGAAAGACUCAUCUAAUCCCCAUGUUGGGUGCACCUGCUUAGAUCUGAGGAAGCCCCAGCCAAAGAAACUGAGAGGAGAGACCAGAGAAAGGAGGAGGACCAGGAGCCUGUGGUGUCAGAGGCUGGGUGAAGAGCAUUUUCAGCCUAGGAGGAAGCUGACUAGGUCUUGUACUGGACAUGGAGGACACACGAUCACUUCAAAGAGACAUCACAGGCCAGCACUGCUCCAGGUGCAGGAGAAAUUGGAAUGAACUGAAAUGACAAAAACCGUGCCCCCAUGCUCUGUACACUCUACUGGGGAAAACAAGCAUUAAACAAGAUGUCCUUGCCUCCUGCUUUCCUGAGAUGAGUAACAAAAUAAUCCUAGCUGCUAUCAUUCAUGCGGUAGCCACAAGCUCUAAGCAGGUGCAGAAUAUACUCUUCAUCUGCAAAGUGAGUACUAACAAUAACCCUGCUUUGCAGAUGAUGAAACCAGAGCUUUAAAGAAGCCUCUAACCUAUUACAACUCAUGGUACAGGCAUUUGGUCCCGGGACUACCCAUCUCCAGUAUGAACUCCCUGUAUUUCUCUCUUUUCCUCUGAAAAUCUGUCUCUGUCUUGAUCCCUGGUCUUGGAGGAAGAAAAGUUCUUUCAAUGCAAAGUUUCCUCCUCCAUCUUGAGCUUGGUUUCCUCCUGUCUCCCACUGCACCUCCCUACAUUAACUGUCCCCUCCCUCUCUCAUAUAGAUCAGCCUCUCCUCCCCACUGCCUCUUCCCUACAAAUGCAUUUGGUCUGCCCACCUUCACCAAUCACUCCUGCUUCAUCUGCCUCCUUGCUUCACUGUCAGCUUGUCAAAAGGAAGGGUGUUUCAGUUUGGCCACCUCUUCUGUUCCCUCAUGCACUCCUUGGCUGUCCAGUCACCUACUUGGUGAGCAAAGCCUUGGUCCCUUCCCUGACACUGUGUGUCUUGGGUCCCUUCUCUUCCCUCCUGGAUGGGCACCAUGUCAUCUCCUACCCUUUUGUUUCUCAGUGCCUGGGACUGUGCCCUGAAUAGCAAGGGCGAUGGUGAUGACCUCACAUUCAGAACUGGUCA
rnacentral:lncRNA from 1 species